CAAGAAAGUGCCUGCUCCAGAAGAAGUUGUUCCUGCUGAACUAUGAAUUUGUUGUGUUUCUUGUGUUUCCUUAUGUUGCUAGACUUUGCAUGGGCCCAGCAGGUGGCCAUAACCAAAGAUAACCAUGUCUACACUUUUUGGUACAAUUCUUCAAACACAGAUGUAGCUACUUUUACUUUUGAUUACUGUGAUAUUGUUACUUGCACCUUCCCACAAACACAAUAUCCUGCUAUAUACAAGGACAUCCCCGGUAAGAAAGACCCAUACAUUUGUGUGACUGGAGGGUCCUGGGGACAUCAUUGUAGUUCAUGGAAGGCGGCUGGGUGGAACACAGGUAGACCAUGGGGCUAUAGGCCCCAGAUUGCCCUAGAUAGAAUUGACAAAGACGGGAAACCCCGGGUCAACCCCCCAUCAAACUCACACUGAACAUAGAGCAUCCUAGUCCAAAGGAUGCGGGGGAAUAUGUAAUGGGCAUGUACUGGAAGGAAGGUGGCUCAUACAAUAAGUUGGGGACGUUCUAUCUGCAAGAUAUGCUUACCUCACUUGACUGGGUAGGAACUACUCACAUGACUGUUAACCCACUGAAACCACAUAUCAAGACUUUAUAUGAUAUGGUAGCCAUAGCCAAUCCUACUUUCGAAGACACGAUGGCAGUGGAAACUGGGUUCUCAGACACUAACUUAUGGCUGGAAUGGAUGAGAUAUAAUGCUAAUUCACACAAUAAGACUAAUUGUUAUGUAUUUGGAGGAGCCAGGCCCCACCUGGGUACGGUACCCUUAAACCUACCACCCGAUGUUGAAUUAUGUGUCUUGAGUCUCUAUGCACAAUCCACUACUAAUUCUUCAACGUGUGAGUCAUGGAAAAAGGUCUACCCAAUCAUCCAGGGGCACGUUAGACCACCUGACGGAGUCACGGUAUACCCAGGUAAUUACACUUGUUAAUCAAUAUCUAAGAACACUGGUACACUCAUGGGCAAAUUCCCAUCUGGUUAUUGCUCCACCUAUCAUAAUCCACCCAUAGCAUUAUUAAUGAAUCAUGCAAAAACAGUUGGGGACAUAUAUUGGCUAUGUGGAAAUAAACAACUAAGAUCCCAACUGGCGGGACUAUGGUGGGGAGAAUGUACUUUGACCAAAGCCAUAAUGCCCAUCCACAUUAUCCCGGAUGGCUAUCACAAUGCGUUAAACCCCGCACACACACACUCCAGAGCCAGGAGGGAAGCCCCAAUCUGAGGAAGCUUUGAUCCACAUGUUUGUAUUGAUGCCAUUGGUGUGCCAAGGUUGGUGCCCAACGAAUUCAAGGCAAGGGAUGAAGUGGCAGCCGGGUUUGAAUCUUUGAUUCCAAUGAUUACUGUUAAUAAGAAUGUCAAUUGGAUUAACUACAUCUAUUACAAUCAGCAGCGGUUUGUUAACUAUACCAGGGAUGCCCUACAGGGCCUAGCAGAACAACUACAAGCCACCACUCAAACGACAUUUCAAAAUAGAAUGGCUCUGGAUAUGAUCUUAGCAGAAAAGGGGGGCG